UACGUAGGAGGCAAGCGUUGUCCGGAAUUACUGGGCGUAAAGGGCGCGUAGGCGGUGCGGUAAGUCUGUAGUGAAAUCUCUGGGCUCAACUCAGAGUCUGCUGCAGAAACUGCCGUGCGUUGAGUGUGGGAGAGGUGAGUGGAAUUCCACGUGUAGCGGUGAAAUGCGUAGAGAGUGUGGAGGAACACCAGUGGCGAAGGCGACUCUCUGGUCUGUAACUGACGCUGAGGCGCGAAAGCGUGGGGAGCGAACAGG
rnacentral:rRNA from 1 species